rnacentral:rRNA from 1 species
GACGAACGCUGGCGGCGUACUUAAUACAUGCAAGUCGAACGGAAAGGCUCUGCUUUUGUGGGGAGCUCGAGAGGCGAACGGGGGAGUAAAACGCGAGUAAAAUGCCCCUGAAUGUGGGAUAAAACCAGGAAACAGGGGCUAAUACAGGAUAGGAGCUCCCGCUGCAAGGUGGGGGUAGGAAAGGUUCGGCGGUUGGGGAUGGAAUCGCGGCUUAUCAGCUUGUUGGUGGGGUAGUGGCUUACCAAGGCUUUGACGGGUAGCAGGCCUGAGAGGGUGACCGGCCCCAUCUGCUCUGGGAUGCGGCCCUGACUCCUACGCCAGGCAGCAGUAGAGACUAUUGCACAAUGGCCGGGAGCCUGAUGCAGCCCCGCCGCGUGCGGGAUGACGGCCUUCGGGUUGUACACCGCUUUCGCCUGUGGCGAAGCGUGAGUGACGGUAAUGGGUAGAGAAGCACCGGCUAACUACGU